rnacentral:rRNA from 1 species
GUGUCAGCAGCCGCGGUAAUACGGGGGGGGCAAGCGUUGUUCGGAAUUACUGGGCGUAAAGGGCGCGUAGGCGGCCUGGGAAGUUCUGGGUGAAAGCCCCCGGCUCAACCGGGGAAGUGCCUGGAAAACCACUGGGCUGGAGUGCUGGAGAGGGAAGCGGAAUUCCUGGUGUAGCGGUGAAAUGCGUAGAGAUCAGGAGGAACAUCGGCGGCGAAGGCGGCUUCCUGGACAGACACUGACGCUGAGGCGCGAAAGCCAGGGGAGCAAACAGGAUUAGAAACCCCUGUAGUCC